GAACCAUUGGACACUGAUUGCAAUAUGUUUGCCACGUAACGAAGUCUACCACUUUGAUUCUUUGCGUAAAGAAACAAUACGGUCCUUACUAGUCAGAUCAUUGUUAAAUAGUGUGAUGAAGGGGGUUAUUGCAUCUGGACUUCGACAACCAAAACCUCCUGUUUGGCAUUUAGUCGAGUGUCCGGUACAAGUAGGUGGACGUGCGUGUGGGUAUUACGUCAUGAGGUUCAUGCUCGAUAUCGUCAACCAUUGCAAAGAUGUUGGUGAUCUUCGAAAUGUAUGU